UCAGCGCUUCCUGGAAACUCCCGCUUAGGAGCGAGGGGGGGCGGGAGCGAAAGAGUCCCAGGCCGGGAAUGGAAAGGGGGCAGGGCACAGCCCCUUCCCCGUGCCCGGACGCCCCCCGAGCCCGCUGACACCCCUCAGACCGACACUCACCCCCUCUUCCUGUGCAGAUGGAGCAGGGAGAAAAUCAAUUAGGUUGGAAAAGACAUCUGAGAUCAUCGAGUCCAACCUUUCCUGGCUCUGGAUGCACUGAGUUUUCCUUUCUCCCAUGUGUGGAUGUGCUGUUCACCUCACUUCCAGACAACUUCAGUAGAGAAGGAUGAGGCAUAAAGAGGAGGAACUCACCCCGGUCCCACCCGGCGCUGCAGAAGGAACCAGAAUUACCAGCCUUUGCUCUGCCUCGCCCAGGGUGUGCCCUGAUGGAAACAAACUGUCGGACAUUUUCUCCAAACACACUGCACAGGACUCGCCAAGCAAAGGGUCAGCCUGCUGUUCUGCUCAGGAAGGAACUACCCCGUGGGAAACAGAAAUUGCUGCUACUUCUGAUCUCUCACAUAAAACUGGAGAGCUUCCACCUGUUACAGGUUUCUAACACCAUCUGCUGUUUAAAAGGAAGAUGGCAUUGGAGCUCAGCAGCACUGAGAGCUUGUUUGAUAAACCAGACGCGACACCAACGAAUCUGGAAUGUUUCUGUAAUUGCCACAAUUCUUUUUUUUUUUCUUAUUUCAAGCCCUGAACAUAUUUUGACUUGAUCUUCAUUAUGAAGUGAGUGAUUUCUUCGCUAGAGGAAGCAGAAUCCCAGUGAGCAGCAGCCCAAUGUCAGGUCCACAACACUUCAGUUUUCAUUCCCAGCCAUGAGGCUGUGUCAUUUCAGCACCAACACAAAUUUCAAGCAGAGUCACUCUGUCCAAAGCUUGCCUGAAGAACUGACUUAAAAAUGUUUUCAUAGGAGAGAACCAUGGUCACCCUGGGGUAUGAGGAGCUCAAAGCAAAUAAUUCUUUACAUUAAAAAUAAAAAUACUGACCUUUUGCUGGCUCACACUGCUGCCUGUGGGACAGAGCAAACACUCUAACCAAGAAUUCUUCUGCUGCUUCCUAAUUGAAAGAGAUACAAACUUUUGUCCCAGGAAAAACAAUAGAACCCAGGAGCUCAUUACACAUUUAAAUUGAAGGGCUCACAACUACUGCUCUUAGUUUUGGUUGCAGAUAUUUGUGAUAACAAGUUUUUCUAAAACAAAAAUCUUUUCUCCAGAGGGGUCCUUGGCCAUUCACCCUGAGACAAGCAGGGGUUAGACAAAAAACACCCAAAACUUUAAAAUCUAGCACCAAACAGAGGUUGUAGCUCUGGGAUUCUUCUCCAGUCUGAUCCCAUCAGCCCAGUUACAGCAUCACCCCCACCUCUCGCAUUUCUCACCCCUCCACACAUCCUUUAAAGUCAGUGGCUCCUUUUGUGAGCAGGCGGCUCCUCACCCCGGCACUUUCCCUGCACUUCGACAAAAGAGACCUUUUACACGUCAAUUUAUUUUCAGACAAGCAUAUCUGAAAGGGAGUUUCCCUCCGGAGUCGAAUUAGUAUUAAUGGCAGGUGUUCAGUGGCACACAAAGGGAGGGAGGCUGAGCCGAGGCACUAAGACAGCUUGAUGUUUUAAUAACCAGAGGCAAGGAAUGGAGUGGCAGCGGACCUGCGGCUUCCCCGGCGUGAGUGAAGGUUUUAUUCAGAGCCCCCAUGUACUGCCGAAAGAAGACCUUGAAAUAUUUUAAAUGUUUUCUUUGCCUUGAAAGAGGGAUUAAAUUGUUGAAUAUUCCAUGAAAGCGCAGCAUCCACCCCACCUCCCGUGGAACUCGCUCGCAGUCACCGAGCACUUCCGAAGCCUCCCGCGGCCUUGGGAAGUGGCCGUGGCCACCCCGAGGAGGUGCUGGCACCCAGGAGGCCUCCAGCUGCACAGGUCACCAUCCACCAGUGCCUAGAGAUGCUGAAAAAAGAAUUACAUGGACUAACUCAAAGGUGGGAACUUGGAGACAGAUUUGCAUUAAAGUUUAAGAAAUUAGAACCACAGAUCAGUUGCUCAGUGAAGUUUCACUGUGAAAGAGAAGAUGAUUGCUGGGAAAGCUACUGGCCUUCAGUUUUAAACGGAAUCUUGAUGGGAAUAUUUCCCAGGCUAAAAGACAUUUAUUGUUGUCCUGGUGAAUUUGACAGAAGUCAGCAAGGGAAGGGCACAGCUACACAGUGGGAAGGAAGGGAAACAUCCUCUCAGCUGGGACAGCCCCUACAACGGAAAAAUGGCUGAUUUAUGCCCCAAACCAGGAAAAUUUAACCUGUAUUAUACAGAAACAGUAUUAUAUAGAGCUGUUCCACAUUAUUUUCAGGCUCCUUGACUUUGGAUCAAUAUGCUUUUCCUGCAGAGGUUAUUUCCAGGUAGACUCAGCAGUUUGAGGCUGGAUUCCGGGAUUUCUGCUCCCUUGAGCUUUCAUUCAGACCUAUUCAGGACAAAAGCUUAAAGAUCAAAUCCACUAUUAAAUACCUGAACUAACAGAAAUAGCUUUCCUUGUAAAGAUGUCCUUAUGUAUGGAAGUUCAAUCAAUUUUUGCCUCUUUUAAAACCAAGCCAAUUUGUGAUAUCCUCUGUAUCCUCUUUGUCCCAAGUUACAGCUGAAUGACCCCAAACUCCUGUAAGAGCAAAUCACUGGGUCUCUCACCACCCCCACCAGUAGGCAUUAGAUACCCAACUUUCACCUCAAAUAAUGCUAUUUCAGUUAAUAUGAAAACAGUACUUUGGCAAAGGUCAGGACAAAACCAGAAAAGGAAGGGGAGAGCCCAGCCCGUCACAAACACCUACAGUUCUCAUAUACAGAAAAUUCACAAGUCCAAUUUUAUUGAGCA